rnacentral:rRNA from 1 species
GACGAACGCUGGCGGCGUGCUUAACACAUGCAAGUCGAACGGGAACCUUUAUUUCGGUAAAGGUGAGAGUGGCAAACGGGUGAGCAACACGUAGGCAACCUGCCGACAGGAUGGGGACAACAUUCCGAAAGGAAUGCUAAUACCGAAUGGAGUCCGGAGAUGGCAUCAUCUCCGGAUAAAAGAUGGCCUCUGAAUAUGCUAUCGCCUGUCGAUGGGCCUGCGUCUGAUUAGCCAGUUGGCGGGGUAACGGCCCACCAAAGCGACGAUCAGUAGCCGGUCUGAGAGGAUGAACGGCCACAUUGGGACUGAGACACGGCCCAGACUCCUACGGGAGGCAGCAGUGGGGAAUCUUCCACAAUGGGCGAAAGCCUGAUGGAGCAACGCCGCGUGAGUGAAGAAGGUCUUCGGAUCGUAAAGCUCUGUUGCACGGGACGAAAACCGAGCUUGAAAACAUUGAGUUUGGGUGACGGUAGCGAGCGAGGAAGCCACGGC